GAGAGAGGCCCGACGGCUGUAGAAACUGCUAAUCUCCUGCUCCCAAGGUUAAACUCCUUGGCUCACUCG
rnacentral:tRNA from 1 species